GAUGAACGCUAGCGGCAGGCUUAACACAUGCAAGUCGAGGGGCAGCGCGGGAUAGCAAUAUCCUGGCGGCGACCGGCGGAAGGGUGCGUAACGCGUGAGCGACAUGCCCGUUGCCCGGGGACAACCGGUGGAAACGCCGACUAAUCCCCGAUGGGAUAUUGUGCCGCAUGGCACGAUAUUGAAAGUUACGGCGGCGACGGAUUGGCUCGCGUCCGAUUAGCUUGUUGGCGGGGUAACGGCCCACCAAGGCUGCGAUCGGUAGGGGUUCUGAGAGGAAGGCCCCCCACAAUGGGACUGAGACACGGCCCAUACUACUACGGGAGGCAGCAGUGAGGAAUAUUGGUCAAUGGGCGGAAGCCUGAACCAGCCAUGCCGCGGGCGGGAAGGAGGCCCUAUGGGCUGUGAACCGCUUUUGCCUGGGGGCAAUAAGGGCGUCGCGCACGUCCGAUGAGAGUACCAGGCGAAUAAGCAUCGGCUAACUCCGUG
rnacentral:rRNA from 1 species